rnacentral:rRNA from 1 species
CGAAGCGUGCGAUUGGAUUGCACGUCUAAGCAGUAAGGCUGAGUAUUAGGCAAAUCCGGUACUCAUUAAGGCUGAGCUGUGAUGGGGAGAAGACAUUGUGUCUUCGAGUCGUUGAUUUCACACUGCCGAGAAAAGCCUCUAGAUAGAAAAUAGGUGCCCGUACCGCAAACCGACACAGGUAGUCAAGAUGAGAAUUCUAAGGUGAGCGAGCGAACUCUCGUUAAGGAACUCGGCAAAAUGACCCCGUAACUUCGGGAGAAGGGGUGCUCUUUAGGGUUAACGCCCAGAAGAGCCGCAGUGAAUAGGCCCAAGCGACUGUUUAUCAAAAACACAGGUCUCUGCUAAACCGUAAGGUGAUGUAUAGGGGCUGACGCCUGCCCGGUGCUGGAAGGUUAAGAGGAGUGGUUAGCUUCUGCGAAGCUACGAAUCGAAGCCCCAGUAAACGGCGGCCGUAACUA